rnacentral:rRNA from 1 species
AUUGAACGCUGGCGGCAGGCCUAACACAUGCAAGUCGAACGAGUGGCGGACGGGUGAGUAAUGUCUGGGAAACUGCCCGAUGGAGGGGGAUAACUACUGGCAACGGUAUCUACUAACACAUACCAUCGGAUGUCACCAGAUGGGAUUAGCUCGUAGGUGGGGUAACGGCUCACCUAGGCUACGAUCCCUAGCUGGUCUGAGAGGAUGACCAGCCACACUGGAAAUGAGACACGGUCCAGACUCCUCUGGGAGGCAGCAGUGGGGAAUAUUGCACAAUGGGCGCAAGCCGGAUGCAGCCAUGCCGCGUGUAUGAAGAAGGCCUUCGGGUUGUAAAGUACUUUCAGCGAGGAGGCGUUACUCGCAGAAGAAGCACCGGCUAAAUCCGUGCCAGCAGCCGCGGUAAUUC